GUCAGCUUAUCCAAGUGGUUACGGAGCUGCACUUGAAAUGCAGUGUGCUCUGCACGCGUAGGUUCAAAUCCUGCAGCUGACG